rnacentral:rRNA from 1 species
GACAGAGGAGCCAAGCGUUGUCCGGAUUGACUGGGCGUAAAGCGCACGCAGGCGGUCGCGCGCGUGGGGUGUGAAAUCUGGCCGCUUAACGGCCAGGCGCCAUCCCAUACGGCGCGACUGGAGUGAUGCAGAGGUCGGUGGAAUUGCCGGUGUAGUGGUGAAAUGCGUAGAGAUCGGCAGGAACACCCAGGGGGGAAACCAGCCGACUGGGCAUCUACUGACGCUGAGGUGCGAGAGCGUGGGGAGCGAACCGG